UGGAGGAGUAGUUAUCAUGUAGUCUAAGAGAAGGCAGAGACAAGCAGAGAGAGGUUAUUCAGCAAUAGUGAGGUAUAUUGUACUUAUAAUAUGCAACAUUGUAUGAGGUCAAGAAAUACAGCCAUGCAGAUCAUCAUUUGCAGCUUUCAUCUUGAAAGUGCCUCAUUCACCUUUUAAACCUCUCUGUGAGGUUGCUGAGCUCCAAGCGUGUCCUCUGAAGUUCUGCCUCCAACAGCUUUUGGCUGCUCAUGAAUUCCUCUCCUAGACACUCCAUCCUCACUGCUGUCUUCAGCAAACUUUGGUGCAGACCUUCAUUUUGCUCCUGUAGUAUCCUAUCAGGACAGAUACACAGUUUUGUCCAAUAUUGUCAUACAUUUUUUUUGUGAUGUUCUUGUUUUCUAUGAUAUUCACAUAAAAAACAAUUAUGAAGGUGCAUUUAGUCAAUUAAUCUUCACAAAUUAUCAUUGUCAUGAGUAUCACUUGAGUUAUGACUUUUACUAGUCAGCAAAGCCACAAAAAACAUUGCACUUACAUGAUUCUACCCAGCUCAUGUGCUUUAUCCUGCAUUGAGAAAACAAAAUUGCUUUCAUUAAAAAAAACUACAUUCAAAAAGUACUAUUGAUAAAGCCCAAACAACAAAAGUGAAUAAAACAGGCUAAACAUGAAAAAGAACAAAGAACAUCAGCUCGGAAUGUCAAAUUGAUUACCAUUAGUUUGUGCAGAAUAACUAAUCUAUUGUUCUGUAAUGAAUAAUCUAUUGUCCACCAUGCUAUGCACGCUGUUGCCCAAAUCAAUAGCAAAGGAAAUGAAUGGAACAUCAUUACAUAACCAGUUAAUGAAGCACAUAAAACACAAGCCGUUAUGGCCCUGCCAAUUAUUUUUUAAUGAGCACAGUGUAAUAGCAGAUUUAAUGAAUGAGUGUAGUGCCAUACUUUAUGUGAUGAUGGGCUGAGGAAGCUUGUCCGCUCCUCAUCCUGACUGGAGGGGCUGCUAGUGUUCCUGGGGGAAUCCGGCUUUCUGUGAAGUGACUCUCGCUGCCUGUGUGAUGGUGAACUGCCAGCAGAAUGCCCCUUUAAAUGAGUGUGGUGGUCAUCGAGGCUAUCAUGGUCAAGAAGAUUAUCUUUGGAGUGGGAUUGGUUGAGAUGUGAUUCAGGGUGAUGUCCAUGGUGAUGACUUGUAUUAACAUUUUCUCCAUGGUGAUGCAGAUGGCCUGAACUGUGAUGGUCUCCAUGGUGAUGCAAAUGGACUGAACUGUGGUGGUCUCCAUGGUGAUGGUGAUGGCCAGGACUGUGGUGGUCUCCAUGGUGAUGGUGAUGGCCAGGACUGUGGUGGUCUCCAUGGAGAUGUUCAUUAGCUUUGCUGUGGUUGUCACUAUGGUGAUGUUCAUUAGCUUUGAUGUGGUGGUCACUAUGGUGAUGUUCAUUAGCUUUGAUGUGGUGGUCACUAUGGUGAUGUUCAUUAGCUUUGCUCUGGUGGUCACUAUGGUGAUGUUCAUUAGCUUUGCUGUGGUGGUCACUAUGGUGAUGUUCAUUAGCUUUGCUGUGGUGGUCACCAUGGUGAUGGUGAUGGCCAGGACUGUGGUGGUCUCCAUGGUGAUGUUCAUUAGUUUUGCUGUGGUGGUCACUAUGGUGAUGGUGAUGGGCAGGACUAUAGUGGUCUCCAUGGUGAUGUUCAUGAGCGUCACUGUGGUGGUCUCCAUGGUGGUCUCCAUGGUGAUGCUGAUAACCUGGACUGUGGUGGUCUCCAUAGUGAUGCUGAUGAGAUUCACUAUGGUGAUCUCCAUGGUGAUGCUCAUGAGCCUCAGCAUGUUGGUCUCCAUGGUGAUGGUGAGAUUCAUUGUGGUGGUCUCCAUGACGAUGAGAUUCAUUACGGUGGUCACCAUGGUUAUGCUGAUGAGCUUCGGUAUGGUGGUCUUCUUGGGGAUGGUGUUGGCCUGGACUUUGGUGGUCUCCAUGGUGAUGCUGAUGAGGUUCACUGUGGUGGUCUACAUGGUGAUGCAGAUGUUUUGGGCUAGGGUGAUCUCCGUUAUCACUGGUUAGGGUGUGGUGACCAUGGUGAUGUGGUGUUGUAGGGCAUGAAUUUGGGUUGCUACCGUGGUGGUGACCUGAACUCUGGUUAUUUCCAUGGUGAUGUGGUGUAGCGUGGUAACCAUCUUGAUGAUGAGUUGGAUUAUGGUGGUCUCCAUGGUGACAGUGAUGAGCAUGGCCAUGGUUGUCUCUGUGGUGAUGGUGAUGAGCAUGACCAUGGUGGUCUCCAUGGUGAUGAUGCUGAGUUGAACUGUGGUGUUCACCAUGGUGAUGAGUUGGGCUGUAGCAGUCUCUGUGAUGAUGGUCUCCGUAGUUAUGAUGAUGUGGUGUGUUGUGGUGGCCUCCAAAGUGAUCUCCUUGUUGAUAGACAGGACUGUGGUGGUGUCUGUGGAGAUGGUGAUGACUUGGUGUAUGGUGAUCCCUGUGGUGAUGGUGAUGACUUGGGCUGUUGCUGUCUUCAAGGUGACGAUGAUGGUGACCAGAGGUGCGGUGGUCUCCUUGGUGAUGGUGGUGGCAGUGAUUACAGGAAGGUGACUGGGAGCAAUGCUGAGAAGUUUGAGAAGAUGAGUGACGUCUAUGUAAACAGCUGAUGUCAUUGCAACUUUUAGGCCUGUGAUACAUGUGAUGGGGUGAUUCUGAAGUAUGCCGAUUGUGAUGGUGGAAACUUCUUGAGUGAGAAAGCCGAGCAGAGUGGGAACGGUUGCUUGUACGGGAGUGCCGGCUGGAGUUAAUUGAGUCUACACUGGUAGGCCGACUUCGCAGCUGUCUGGGUUUCUCAGUGCAGCUGUCUGCCGUCCUGGAUCUAAGAGAGGUCUGCCCUGGACUACAGGGUCUUUGAACAUCUGUAACACCAAGAGUGGUGAGUCUCAUUGGGCUGAGUACCUGCCGAGUGAUCUCAUUAAGGAAGGUAGAAAAUUUCAUUUUUUCUUUCAUUAAAUUCUUCUUGGCUUCAGUUUUCCUCCUCUCCUGCUCCACUUCGUCCUCAUUUCCAUGCACUUCUUUGGGUGUGCUGAGAGCCUCCAUUGAUUUGGCUUUGCGGAAACUUCCAUCAUUUCCCGCGCCUCUCGUAAUCCUCUUUGUGCUCUUCAAGGUUGAUCCCAGGGUUGCGCCACUGUGAGAGGCCUUUCCUUUCACUUGUUUCUCUUUGGCAGAUGACCUGCUUGCUCUUUUAUGUAUCAGCGGGGCUGUGUCUUCUCCUUCUUCCAAGUAUUUCUGUUUUCCAGAAAUGUCAGUACAAGACCGUGAAUGCCGGGGCUUCCUAAGAGAAUAUCUAUCUAAACUCUCACUGCUGCUGUCAGAGGACAGGCUAGAAGAAGAGGUAGAUGUUGCAGAAGAGGAAGAAAAAGAAGAGGCGGUAGAAGAAGAAGAGGAGGAGGGUGUUGAUAAAGAGGAAGAAGAAGAGGAUGAAUAGGAACCAGUUG
ensembl:lncRNA